rnacentral:tRNA from 1 species
GGGGAUAUAGCUCAGUAGGUAGAGUGCUUGCCUUGCAUGCAUAAGGCCCUGGGUUCAAUCCGUAGCUCUA